GACGAACGCUGGCGGCGUGCUUAACACAUGCAAGUCGAACGGAAAGGCCCUGCUUUUGUGGGGUGCUCGAGUGGCGAACGGGUGAGUAACACGUGAGUAACCUGCCCUUGACUUUGGGAUAACUUCAGGAAACUGGGGCUAAUACCGGAUAGGAGCUCCUGCUGCAUGGUGGGGGUUGGAAAGUUUCGGCGGUGUGGGAUUGACUCGCGGCUUAUCAGCUUGUUGGUGGGGUAGUGGCGUACCAAGGCUUUGACGGGUAGCCGGCCUGGGAGGGUGACCGGCCACCAUGGGACUGAGGUACGGCCCAGACUCCUACGGGAGGCAGCAGUGGGGAAUAUUGCACAAUGGGCGGAAGCCUGAUGCAGCGACGCCGCGUGCGGGAUGACGGCCUUCGGGUUGUAAACCGCUUUGGCCUGUGACGAAGCGUGAGUGACGGUAAUGGGUAAAGAAGCACCGGCUAACUACGUG
rnacentral:rRNA from 1 species